GGAGUUUGGACCGUGUCUCAGUUCCAAUGUGGGGGACCUUCCUCUCAGAACCCCUACUGAUCGUUGCCUUGGUGGGCCGUUACCUCACCAACCAGCUAAUCAGACGCAGGCCCAUCCUUUGCCGAUAAAUCUUUGGCAGCCCGAACAGGAGAUCAGGCUGCAUUAUGGGGUUUUAAUCGUCGUUUCCAACGGCUAUCCCCCUGCAAAGGGCAGGUUGCCUACGCGUUACUCACCCGUCCGCCGCUUUCAUCACUGAAAUUUCUACCGAAGUAUCAUUUCAAUGAAUCACGCUCGACUUGCAUGUGUUAGGCACGCCGCCAGCGUUCAUC
rnacentral:rRNA from 1 species